UCCUUUGCCCAUCUAUCUCAUGCAAGGCGC
rnacentral:piRNA from 1 species